UCUCCUCUGCUGCCUCCACUUCGGCUCGCGAAGGAUGACAUGAUGCAGAAAAAAAGCAUGGCCGCCAUCACCGCCGCCUCCACUUCGGACUCGAGGGUGUAGAGCCCCAUGGCUUCGUCGAGGGCCGCGGAAAUAACAGGGCAGCUUCCUGCUGGGGCAGCCGAUCUGGGAGGAGCUGUUUGUGGCGCUGGGGCGGGCAACCGGAGAAGGACGCCGACUCGCGGUUCCGCGCCUGCUGAUUCGUGGUCAUCGCCGGCCUCCUGCUCCUCGCCGGUGAGGUCCUCGGACGAAGCAGCCAAAUCCAGGACGGACAUGCCCCUUGAGGAUUACUAAUCGUAUUUUUUAUCGCUCGACAGAGCUUGUGCAUAUCGCCAGGAUUUGAGUAUUCAGAAGCCCACAAAUAGGGGCGCUAUUUGAACUCGAGUUUGUCAUGGUUUACCCUCAGGGAACUAUCAUGGAUGAAAUGGUGCCAAUACACUGAAUUAACAAGUUCAGGCACAAACUGAAGGAAUGCUUCAUCUAGCGAUUGCAUGUUUCCCUUCUCGAUGCUAGCGGCCAUUGCAUGUUUCUCUUCUCGAUGCUAGCGGCCGUCAACACCGAAGACCAGCAAGAUUUGAUUUUGGGCAGAUGGACAGGACGUCGAUCCCGGGGGACACGAGACUACGUGAAGGAACUGCUGCAGAGGAUACAACGGUUGCAGUUGGAGUUAGAGGAGUCACGCUGCAGUGGGUAUGGCUGUCGAGUGUGUUCCAGCAGCAGAACCCCAAUGAGAUGCUGGUCAGGAACAGCUCCAAGGUGAGGAAUUGAAACCACCCACUGUCUCCAGAGGAGAGUGGCUUCAUUUUUGCUAUAACUUGAAAAUAUGGUGAGAGCAAGAUACUUUGAGUAGUGAGGAAUCGAUGAGUAGCAAUUUGAUUAGUUUGGUAGAUGUAAUGUAACACACGUAUCCACACAAUUCUGAGGCAACAAAACUACAAUUAGCUCACAGACUCUUGUUUGCUAAAUGUUUAGAAUGAAAGACCGGCGAGUUGAUUGUUUCAACAAAGCAUGGUCAAUUGAUUCAAGAAUGUUUGAAAUGAAUUUGAAAGGCAUUUUGGACAAACAUCCUGGUGAUGGUGUUGUGUGUGUGCCGCUACUGUUUUGUGUUAUGUGCUACCACUUCCAUGCCGCUAUGUGAGGGAUUUAGAGAGAUUCAGAGAUGAGAGAGGCCACUGUUGGGAUAUGGAUUACUACUAAUUAUUUGCUGCUCUGAGUUGUAUGUUAUUGCUGCUCCGAUUUGUAUGUUGCUGCUUGGGUGAAUUAGGACAGUGCUGCUGCAACAUAUGGAACAAAGUACUAGAGAUAAUGAUGCUGCUACUAAUAGAUUGUUGCUAUUUUUACCUUCUGCAGUUUCUAAUGCUGCUUUGGGUUAUGUAGUUUGUAUUAGCUAUAUCUUUUCCAAGUACAAAUAAUUUAAAAAGUAUGGUUGGUUCGUUCCUGAUUUUGUGUUAUUUUGUGGUCCCUUUUGCAUUGAUAUGAAUUCAUAUUUUGAUGCAUUCUUCCAUCCUGUAUGCUAUUAGACAUGCUCAUUUGAAGAUUGGGUUAUCAAUAUCAAUUACGGUUACCUUUCAACGUCUAAUCAGGUCUGCAAGGUAGUGUUAUUUCUCUUCUAUUUUUGUGAUUCUUCAUAUGCAGAAAAUGGUAUGUUCAGCUUAUAUCAUAAAUUCCAUAAGGACUACAUGAUAUGAUAACAUAUGAUUCUCAUACCAGCUCUAUUGUGUUUUCCAUUAUUUGUCUAAUGUAAAAAGCUAUUGCUGUGCACAAAUGUUUGUACAGUAGACAUUCUUUUGGGUGUGUGUAUGUGUUCCCUUAGUUGCGGUCAGUAUAUAUCUGAACCAUCAUUCCGUCUUACUGCUGGAAAUAUUGGUCCCAUUCCACAUAAUCAGUCUAAGCCUGUUGUAUUUUUCCUAAUUUUUAUUGUAGUAUUAACCCAUGAAAUGUAGCUUGAGAAGGGUAUAUUUCAUCUUUAUAAGUUCCAUCAGUAUUAGUUCUCCAUUUUACAUCAAAAAGGAUGUAAGCAUAGAGACAGAAUACGUCAUCCAUAUGUCUAGAAUUGCAGAAACCCGUAUACAAGUUUCCAGUAAUUUCUCUUUGAUGAAUACGUUUCACUUAAAAAAUGUGAAUGGAAGGUGUUAAUAUUUUAUCACCCUUUGAAUACUUAUUUUGAAAGUCCCAGGCGCGGCGUCGGUACACAUGUACAUGGAUUAAGGUAGUAAGCAGGUGCCAAGCUGGACUGCCUGUGUAUCCUUGGGAUCAGAUUUUUCCUGGUCGGAGUCGUGGCUUCAAGGUGAGAAAGUGAAUGGAAAUUCCUUCUCCUUAUAGAUUUUUGCAUCUUUGGGUAAUUUUUCUAAGAAGCGACCGACCGGCUCAUGAAUAAUUAUUGUAUUUUUUAUUUAACUCAAGUCUUUUUACUUGCUUCUACAGGUUCAUAGCGAGCAUAUCCAAGAUAUGUAUCAUUUAUCCAUUUGUUUUCUUUUGAGGUUUUGAUGAUGUUCCUUGGAAAAAAAAUUCAAAUUUCGUCCCCACAAUGUUUCGGACAUUAAUGUGAACAUGUAUAGAGCAUUUUUCUGAAUUUACAUGUAUAGAAGUUUUUUUCA